rnacentral:antisense_RNA from 1 species
GAGAGGGAGGUGGCUCGGCUGGAGCGCGCCGUCCGCCCGACCCCCGCCGCCUCUCGGGCGCCUGCGCUCACGCUGCGGGGCCCAGCGCAUUGUGAGCCGGGUAGGGCUCCAAGCUGGCAGCGUCUGAGAGCUGUCCUGGGCCGGAGGUGGCGCGACCCCUGUGCGGCCUAGAGUGGGCCUGGGGAUUGGUGGAGUCAGUCCUAAGCAGGACCCGCGUUGGAGAGGGGAUUACUGAUGUUACAAGCGCACAUUACUUCAAUCCCCUAGAUGCCUCAGCACUAAUGAUCGUGAUCAGAGACCCCGAGUUCUUUCUACGCUUCGCAACACAUAGCACAAAUGGAAUAUGUGUUGACACACCCCUCUGAAGCUAAGAUCUUUGAUAUUAAGACCCUGACUUUUUUCCCUUUCAUUCUUCCGAACCCUCUGUGUACUUUGAGCAGCACUGUGGUUGAUUAAUAAAUCAUCA